rnacentral:rRNA from 1 species
CCUACGGGGGGCUGCAGUGGGGAAUAUUGGACAAUGGGGGCAACCCUGAUCCAGCCAUGCCGCGUGUGUGAAGAAGGCCCUCGGGUUGUAAAGCACUUUCAGUGAGGAAGAACGCCUGGUGGUUAAUACCCAUCAGGAAAGACAUCACUCACAGAAGAAGCACCGGCUAACUCCGUGCCAGCAGCCGCGGUAAUACGGAGGGUGCGAGCGUUAAUCGGAAUUACUGGGCGUAAAGCGCGCGUAGGUGGCUUGAUAAGCCGGUUGUGAAAGCCCCGGGCUCAACCUGGGAACGGCAUCCGGAACUGUCAAGCUAGAGUGCAGGAGAGGAAGGUAGAAUUCCCGGUGUAGCGGUGAAAGGCGUAGAGAUCGGGAGGAAGACCAGUGGCGAAGGCGGCCUUCUGGACUGACACUGACACUGAGGUGCGAAAGCGUGGGUAGCAAACAGGAUUAGAUACCCCUGUAGUC